GACGAACGUUGGCGGCGUGCUUAAUACAUGCAAGUCAACUGAAGCACCGGUAGUAAUACUGGUGUGGAGGUGGCGCACGGUGAGUAACACGUAGGUAAUCUGCCUUCAGGUCUGACAUAACCCCGAGAAAUCGGGGCUAAUAGCAGAUGAUGCAGCGGCUUGACAUCAAGACAGUUGUUAAAGCUUCGGCGCCUGAAGAUGAGCCCUGCGUCUGAUUAGCUAGUUGGCGGAGUAAUGGCCCACCAAGGCUACGAUCAGUAACUGGUCUGAGAGGAUGAUCAGUCACACUGGAACUGAGACACGGUCCAGACUCCUACGGGAGGCAGCAGUAAGGAAUAUUGCUCAAUGGGAGAAAUCCUGAAGCAGCAACGCCGCGUGAGGGAUGAAGGGCUUUUGCUCGUAAACCUCUGUAGUGAGGGAAAAAUUUCCACUCUGUGGAAUAUGAUGGUACCUCAAAAGUAAGCCCCGGCUAACUACGUGCCAG
rnacentral:rRNA from 1 species